rnacentral:rRNA from 1 species
UACGUAGGGUGCAAGCGUUGUCCGGAAUUAUUGGGCGUAAAGAGCUCGUAGGCGGUCCGUCACGUCGGCUGUGAAAACCUGGGGCUCAACCCCGGGCCUGCAGCCGAUACGGGCGGACUAGAGUUCGGUAGGGGAGACUGGAAUUCCUGGUUUAGCGGUGAAAUGCGCAGAUAUCAGGAGGAACACCGGUGGCGAAGGCGGGUCUCUGGGCCGAUACUGACGCUGAGGAGCGAAAGCGUGGGGAGCGAACAGG